CUACGGGUUGCACCAGUGGGGAAUUUUGCGCAAUGGGGGAAACCCUGACGCAGCAAUACCGCGUGAGUGAAGAAGGCCUUUGGGUCGUAAAGCUCUUUUCUUGGGGAAGAUAGUGACGGUACCCAAGGAAUAAGCACCGGCUAACUCCGUGCCAGCAGCCGCGGUAAUACGGAGGGUGCAAGCGUUGUUCGGAUUUACUGGGCGUAAAGGGCACGUAGGCGGCACAGCAAGUUAAGGGUGAAAUCCCGGGGCUCAACUCCGGAACUGCUCUUAAAACUGCUGAGCUAGAGAUAGUCAGAGGCGGGUGGAAUUCCAGGUGUAGAGGUGAAAUUCGUAGAUAUCUGGAGGAACACCGGUGGCGAAGGCGGCCCGCUGGGGCUAUUCUGACGCUAAGGUGCGAAAGCGUGGGGAGCAAACGGGAUUAGAUACCCCGGUAGUC
rnacentral:rRNA from 1 species